ensembl:lncRNA
CAAUGUAUUAGACAACACAGAGUUAGAACACCUGCAUCAUCAUGGAAAGUUCUAUCAGACAGCACUGCUCCAGGUCUUGGCUUUCAGUGUGGGCCGCAACACUGGAUUGGCAUCACCUGGGAACCCUUAGAAAUGCAGGCUCUUGUAUCUACCCAGAUCUGCUGAAUCAGAGUCUGCAUUUUAACAGGAUCCGCAGGUGCUUCCUGCACAUGUGAGCUUGAAAAGCAUGACUAUAAGAAGGCCUCCCCACUGGGUAGGUAGCUGCAAGGACAGAGCAGUGCUCCUGUGGCUUCUGUGUAGACUCCAGCGACUCCUAGUCUGGCUCAUUACGUGCAUGAUCUUAUCUACUGAAUAGGAAAAUCUGAGGCUAUAACAACAAAAGAAAUGAUCAUGAUGCCUAAUACAUAGUAAAUGCUCUUUAAAUGGCUGUUUGUUAUGUUUGGAUUUGAUGAGAUUCAAGGUCCCUGCCAACCAUAAGCCCAGUGCAGACUGCAUGGCCAAAAGUGGCUCUUCCCCUCGCCGCCACAGGGUGGUGCUGUGUCACCAACGUCCCUUCUUCUUCAACAGGCUUCCAGCCGGCUCCCGCGCAAGAAGCCAAUAAAUUUGCCCCGCGACUUCCAGGUCUCUGUUUCGGAUUACCGAGCACGACCGCACGGCUGGGACACCAAUCCAAGCAUUCAUCUGACAGAUAAUGGGAGAACAGGCCUCAGCUUUGUGCCCAGUUGGAAUGCAAAAAAUCUAAAUCAUACUUGUGUCCUUGUUGGGAGCUGGCAUCGUGGAAGAAGCCAGGCUCUGUCUGCAUUGGAGCAGACGGGCUGGAAUCACAACUCUCAGCUUUACCAGCUGGACAACCUCAGGCAAGUCAUAUGACCCUCCUCUAUUAGAUUCAUGGGUUUGUUGUAAAGAUUAAUAUACAAAUGCCUGGUAAUCAGUAGCCACUCAAUAUGAUCGGUAACUGUACUGCUGUUCUAUUCAAAUCCCGUCCCUUAUUUGCUGGGGAGGCCACUGACCUCAGAUGUAAGAAAGAUUAGAUUUCUUCUCUUGUGGGAGCUUCCCUGAGUGGCUACUAAAUGGAUUUUGCCAACAGCCUCCCCUUCCUUGCAAGGCAGCUGGGGCCCCUCUCGACUCUCCAGUUCAGCACCCACAAGUGGCUAAAACUUGCUAUGAAAUCUUGCCUGGCUGGACCUGUAUUGAUUUUGUUCUCAGUCUUUCCAGUGGCCUCUAAUCUCCCUGUAAUGCCCAGUUACAAAACAUAGUGGCUUCGCUCCACAGCUGCCAGAGACUAAUGUCUUUCUGGACAGAAACCCAGACCCCCCUGCACCCCUAGGGUCCACCUUGUGUUUACCUUCAGGCUGCAAGGUCUCAGAGUUCAGCACCUUCCACCAGGUUAUUGAACAGCUCCACAGAUCAGGGCUAAGUGGUGCGGUCAAAGACUCGUGCCUCCUCUCUGCCUCCUUUUCACUGUCGUCAGUUAACAAAUAUUGAUCAUGCCCUGCUGUGUGCAAGUGGGGAACGAAACCCUACACAGUGUUCUCAAGACCUUUUAUGGUCCAGUGCUGCGUGUUGACUAGGUCAGUGGGAAACAGAGGACAGACAGCCUCAGCUGAGCCCCUGGCACCAUUCCUGCCAAUAUUUAAACCAGGUCAAUUCUUCUGGCCUGGUACACCAUUUAACUCUUACAGUGGCUGAACUGUUUGGCAGUCCUGAAAGCUAAGUAAGGACUUGGCAGGGCAGGAGGUUCUGACCUAGGGUCAGCCUUGUAUUUA